rnacentral:rRNA from 1 species
AUUGAACGCUGGCGGCAUGCCUAACACAUGCAAGUCGAGCGGAAACAGGUCUUCGGAUGCUGACUAGUGUUGAACGCGGGAGUAAUACUUCGGAACGUGUCCCAUCGCUGUGGGUAUCGAGUCGAAACCUUUGCUAAUAGCUCAUACCAGAUAAGAAAGAAAGCCGCGGGUCUUCGUACCUCGCGCCGGUUUUGCUGUCGCUGGUAGAUGAGUCCGUGCCAGAUUAGAUAGUUGGUCAGGUAACGGCUUACCAAGGCGACGAUGAGUAGCAGAACUGAGAGGAUGAUCAGCCACACUGGAACUGAGACACGGUCCAGACUCCUACGGGAGGCAGCAGUGGGGAAUUUUGGACAAUGGGCGAAAGCCUGAUGCAGCCAUGCCGCGUGAGUGAUGAAGGCCUUCGGAUUGUAAAACGCUUUUAUAAGGGAAGAACAGCUGUUUUCUAAUCAAGGGACGUCUUGACGGUACCGUAAGAAUAAGCCCCGGCUAACUACGUG